UGAGUAAUGCUUAGGAAUCUGCCUAUUAGUGGGGGACAACAUUCCGAAAGGAAUGCUAAUACCGCAUACGCCCUACGGGGGAAAGCAGGGGAUCUUCGGACCUUGCGCUAAUAGAUGAGCCUAAGUCAGAUUAGCUAGUUGGUGGGGUAAAGGCCUACCAAGGCGACGAUCUGUAGCGGGUCUGAGAGGAUGAUCCGCCACACUGGGACUGAGACACGGCCCAGACUCCUACGGGAGGCAGCAGUGGGGAAUAUUGGACAAUGGGCGAAAGCCUGAUCCAGCCAUGCCGCGUGUGUGAAGAAGGCCUUUUGGUUGUAAAGCACUUUAAGCGAGGAGGAGGCUACUUGGAUUAAUACUCUAGGAUAGUGGACGUUACUCGCAGAAUAAGCACCGGCUAACUCUGUGCCAGCAGCCGCGGUAAUACAGAGGGUGCGAGCGUUAAUCGGAUUUACUGGGCGUAAAGCGUGCGUAGGCGGCUUUUUAAGUCGGAUGUGAAAUCCCUGAGCUUAACUUAGGAAUUGCAUUCGAUACUGGGAAGCUAGAGUAUGGGAGAGGAUGGUAGAAU
rnacentral:rRNA from 1 species